rnacentral:tRNA from 1 species
UGCGGGAUGGCCGAGUGUUAGGCAAAAGAUUGUAGCUCUUUUUACGGAGCAAAGAGCUUCUCUCGUAA